AUGGAGGUUGAUGCGUUUCAGUUUGCUGUGAGACGCCAUGUCAGGGAUUGGAUGGAAUUCUUCGCGUCGAAAAAAGUAGCUCACACAUCGACGCAAACUAGAUGGGAGACCCCUCCACAAGAUUGUGUUAAGAUCAAUGUAGACGCCUCAUUUAACGCAAGUUUGGGCCAUCGAGGGUGGGGUAUGAUUUGCAUAGAUUCGGAAUCAGACAUUAAGUUCCUGGCAGCAGGAUCUGCUGAUGACGUUUCUGAUGCUCUACAUGCUGAAACCAUAUCCCUCUCACAUGUUGUUCAGCUAGCUGACCAACUGGGCGUGGGGCGGGUAAUUUUUGAGACUGACAGUCUCAACUUGCAACAAGCAGUGACCUCCAACUCUUAUGACUUUGCUCCACUGGGACAAAUGUUUCGAGAUAUCAAGGCCAAACUCAAUUCACAAUUCAUUAGCACAAGUGUAGUCCAUGUCUCGCGUGACUGUAACAUGCCAUCACAUGUACUGGCAGCAAGGGGCGCAGGAUUAGCUAAUGCUGAAAUGCGUUUGUGGUUGGACAAUAUUCCUGCUGAUGUAACCCGUUAUGUAACCAGCAUCUCAGCCGUGUCAUAA
rnacentral:rRNA from 1 species